GAAGAUCAAACUGUAGUUCCAUUGUUAGACAGGAAUGAGUCUGGCUGUGUUGCCAAACUUGAAAGAUUCUCCAAUUAUGUCGCUAGGCAGAUAGGAUUUGAAGAUGGAAGUGAAUGUCCCCAACUUUGCAAAUUAGCAUAUGAGUACCUCAAAAAAUCCAAAGAGUGUGAGAGUACUAUCUAUGAGUAUUUUGCUGAUGAUCCAAAUGUUGAUGAGCUGUAUGUGAAGUUGGUUGAGGAGUUUGAUAGGUGCAUCCUUGCCUACUUUGCAUUUCAUUGGAGCCAAGCUUCUCUCAUGAUCAGUCAGGUAUAUGCAUAUAUAUGUGUUUAUAAAUGUUUCAACAGAAAUGUUUGGUAAUCGAAAAUUUUACUUCAAAAAUUAGUCAGAAAAAAAUAUUGAAUCGAAAACUUUACUUCAAAAAUUAGUCAGAAAAAAUAUUGGAGUAGUUGAGAUUCAUUUUAAAUUAGGUCCCACUAUAUGUGUGUAUGUUUUUAUAAAUGUUUCAACAACAAUAUUAGGUAAUUGGAAAAUUUAAUUAGAAAAUUACAAA